rnacentral:rRNA from 1 species
UAACAAGGUCUCCGUUGGUGAACCAGCGGAGGGAUCAUUACGGAUUGCCACAAUCCCAAACCCGUGUGCGAACCUACCGUCGUUGCCUCGGCGGACCCGUCCCGGCGCCCGGGCGGCCGCUCCCGCGAGCGCCGCCCGCGGCCCGGACCCCACGUCGGCCGCCGGGGGACCCGAAACCUCUGUAUUGCGAGCAUCAGUCUGAGUCCGCCGCCAGGCGGGAAGCGAAUCAGUCAAAACUUUCAACAACGGAUCUCUUGGCUCUGGCAUCGAUGAAGAACGCAGCGAAAUGCGAUAAGUAAUGUGAAUUGCAGAAUUCAGUGAAUCAUCGAAUCUUUGAACGCACAUUGCGCCCGGCAGCACUCUGCCGGGCAUGCCUGUUCGAGCGUCAUCUCAACCCUCGAGCCCCCCCCGGGGGGCCCGGCGUUGGGGACCGGCAGCCAGCCGCCGGCCCCGAAAUGGAGUGGCGGCCCGCCCGCGGCGACCCCUGCGCAGUACACAUGCCUCGCAGCGGGAGCCCGGCGCGGCCACGCCGUAAAGCGAACCUCUGAACGUUGACCUCGGAUCAGGUAGGGAUACCCGCUGAACUUAAGC